UGCAAAUCAACACAAUAGGCUAUAUGCACACUCACUUCCGCAUUCCAAGUCGGCCAGCCAGGUUACAUCCGGCGUCGACGGCGCACAUAGCGUCAAUAACAACUAUGGCAUUUUUCACUCGGUCCCUUCAAGAUGUCCCAAAGGUAACGGUCAACGACGUGAGUCGAAUCAUACAAAAGUUAUGUCACACUUCGACAACCAAGAAAGAGAAGGGCUUCAAAUUGUAUGUGUCAAGCUACAUCCACAAUUUUGAAGGUAAGAUCUGGACGUGUUCUGUGUUUACAUGCCCAUAGCAUGCAUGCUAUCUAGUGCUAGCGCAGCAGGUGCAGCGUAGGCUAUGUUUACUAUUAUGUGUCAAUCACAGCCAAUUUUCCUAACGCCUUUGUCAAUGUCAGUUUCAAACAAGGAUUCAAGCACAGGAGAGGUAACGAUUAGGGCUGAGUGCUACAGAUCUAUGAGGAAAAGCCAAAAGCCUCACAGCUUAAGCAUUGUGCUUGGGGAUGCCCGUCCUGUGCAUCUACAAAGCUGCCAGUGUACCUGUGUGGCAGGUACAGCUGUGUGUAAUCAUGUGGCAGCACUGUUGUACCAGACUGCACAUUAUUGCCAGCUUAGCAUCACCUCUGUUCCCCCAACACACAGCUGCACAGAGACUGAACAGAAGUGGCAUAAGCCAAGAUCCAUGGUAACUAAUGUUUUUAACAGGGUACUUUGUGUACGAUCCAAAGGGGCAGACAGUGUUUGGCCUUGUUGAAAUUAAAUGCCCCAAUGUUGCAAGCUAUGUUGACUGCCCAUAUAUUAAGAUCAGUGAGGGCACACACACAUUAAGGAAAUCUCAUUCCUACUUUUGGCAAAUCCAGGGCCAGAUGUUGAUUUCUGGUUUAGACUGGUGUGACUUUGUUGUCUACACACAGGAGGACAUGUUUAUUCAGAGGAUUCCCAGAGACAAUGAAAUCACCAAAACAAUGAAAGUAAAAAUUGAUUUUUUUUAUUUUUAUUGUUACCUCUUUGCUUCCCUAAAUAAUUAGAUUCUGAUUGCCUGUCACACUUCUUUAUAGAGUGCUGUUAAUUUCUCUUUUCUCCAUUUCUCUUACUGGCAGUAACUCUUAUUAGUUCAAUCCAUUUCAAAAUAUUUGUACAUAUAUAUUGAUUCAAGUUUUUAUAUUUUUUCUUAAUUGUAUUACUAUGUUUCUUGUUGUAUUAAUACUAAUCUAUUAUUAAAUUACAUGUUACAUGUUCUUCCGAUUAAUUUUUUUGAUAAUUGGUUACCUAAAAAUA